rnacentral:rRNA from 1 species
GCUACGGGGGGCAGCAGUGGGGAAUAUUGCACAAUGGGGGAAACCCUGAUGCAGCGACGCCGCGUGAGCGAUGAAGUAUUUCGGUAUGUAAAGCUCUAUCAGCAGGGAAGAAGAUGACGGUACCUGACUAAGAAGCCCCGGCUAACUACGUGCCAGCAGCCGCGGUCAUACGUAGGGGGCAAGCGUUAUCCGGAUUUACUGGGUGUAAAGGGAGCGUAGACGGCGAUGCAAGCCUGAUGUGAAAGCCCGGGGCUCAACCCCGGGUCUGCAUUUGGAACUGUGUGGCUGGCGUGUCGGAGAGGCAGACGGAAGUCCUAGUGUAGCGGUGAAAGGCGUAGAUAUUAGGAGGAACACCAGUGGCGAAGGCGGCCUGCUGGACGAUGACUGACGUUGAGGCUCGAAAGCGUGGGGAGCAAACAGGAUUAGAUACCCUUGUAGUC